AUAUUUGCUGUGUUGGUGUAAUGUACUCAGGUGAAUAAGAUGCUUAUUCAUGAUCACCUGAGUACAUUACACCAACACAGCAAAUUUCAGGAAUGAGU